CCUACGGGAGGCAGCAGUGAGGAAUAUUGGUCAAUGGGCGAGAGCCUGAACCAGCCAAGUCGCGUGAGGGAGUACUGCCCUAUGGGUUGUAAACCUCUUUUGUCGGGGAGCAAAAGCCGGACGUGUCCGGCUGUGAGAGUACCCGAAGAAAAAGCAUCGGCUAAAUCCGUGCCAGCAGCCGCGGUAAUACGGAGGAUGCGAGCGUUAUCCGGAUUUAUUGGGGUUAAAGGGUGCGCAGGCGGAUUUUUAAGUCAGCGGUCAAAUCGUGGGGCUCAACCCCAUCCAGCCGUUGAAACUGGGGAUCUAGAGUGUGCGAGAGGUAUGCGGAAUGCGUGGUGUAGCGGUGAAAUGCAUAGAUAUCACGCAGAACCCCGAUUGCGAAGGCAGCAUACCGGUGCACAACUGACGCUCAGGCACGAAAGCGUGGGUAUCGAACAGGAUUAGAUACCCUAGUAGUC
rnacentral:rRNA from 1 species